ACAGAUCUCACUCUUGAUGCAUUUUGUCCCAUGUGGCUGGGGAAGAGGCUAGUCUCCUGGAAGGCAUUUUAAAGAACCUGUUGCCCAGGCCCUGCAGGCUGGAUAACCUGCUUUGAAGGUGAAUCAGGGAAGUUAGCCAACAAAAACAAACAUCUGCAGGGAUUAAAGUUCUCCAUUGCUACAACUGAUUUACAUCAUUUGGGCUAAAGAGAGAGAGAGAGAGAGUUCUUUCAUGCUGCCAUUUUGUGCACCCCACCACCUCCCCAUCAGUGCCCAGUCUUCGCAGAUUCGUCAGUGCAUCGCCUCGUCAACCUCAUCAGCCCCAGCAGAAGUCAUCAGCCACCACCACCACCAGUGUCUGGACUCCAUGGGGGGAUCUAUCUUGCUGCUGCUCAGGACUGACGUUCUACGAUUCAAAAUCUCCCUGUAGAGUCUAAGUGCCAAAGACUUUUGUCAACACUUAAUCAGCAAUAUCAUCUGUAUAAUAAACAAUUAUUUUGCUUUA